rnacentral:misc_RNA from 1 species
AAGGAUCAUUAUCGUGGGGCUCCGGCCCCGUCGAGAUAGAACCCUUGCCUUUUUGAGUACCAUUUUCGUUUCCUCGGCGGGCUCGCCCGCCAACGGGGACCAACCACAAACGCUUUGUAGUACCUGUAAUCGUCUGAUAAACAAGCAAAAAUUUAAAACUUUCAACAACGGAUCUCUUGGUUCUG